rnacentral:misc_RNA from 1 species
GUGAAUCAUCGAAUUUUUGAACGCAUAUUGCACUCUCUUCGGCUAGUAAGCGUGUUUGAGGAUCAGCCUCAAAAAAAUCCACUUAGUCUCUGUUUCGCGGUGACAUUUGUCCGAAAUUGGGUCAUCUUGAUCCUUUCGGUUUUAGGCGGCUUAAAAUUUUCUUUGCGAUUCCACGAACUUUUCUAAGAUUUACUUCUUAUACUUUUUAGGUAUCGAUCUUUAUUAUACGUGGCCUUUGCAUCGUGUCU